CUUGAAAUGGGCUGAGUCCCUCUUGCUCACCCUUGACUUGGAAAAACCAGUUUCUCUUUUAUUGUCUGUUACUAAUCUCUAUUCUAAAAAUUCAGCUCAAUUCUCAACCAUACUCCAAACUCUCUCUUUUCCAGCUACCUUUACUCCCUCUCCUUCAAUUCCACUUUCCUCUGCUUACUUUUUUUUUUUUUCUGACAGGGUCUCACUUUGUCGCCCGGGCAGGAGUGCAGUGGCUCAAUCUUGGGCUCACUGCAGCCUCAACCUCCCAGAGGCGGGGUUUCACCAUGUUGCCCAGACUGGUCUUGAACUCCUGAGCUUAAGCAAUCCACCUGCCUCGGCCUCCCAAAGUGUUGGGAUCACAGGCGUGAGCCACCGCAUCCGGCCUCAUGUUCUUUUUCAUUAAAGAGAGAAAUCAACUAUUCAGGACCGGCCCCCACCUUUCCUCAGGAGUCAUUUCUGUUCCGCACAGGCCUGCUGAACUGGGUGCUUUAUAUAGGACACUGUCAUCUCUCAAGUACCCAUCUUGGAGGGUACGGACCCCACAUGAGGAAAGGACCAACCACACCGAGCUCAGUUAUGGCACACACAGUGGGACCUAGACAAAGGGAGAGGGUGACCGACAUCCCAACUAGAUUUCAGUGGAGUGAAGUUCAGGAGGCAUGGAGCUGACAACCAUGAGGCCUCGGCAGCCACCGCCACCACCGCCGCCGCCACCACCGUAGCAGCAGCAGCAGCAGCAGCAGCAGCAGCAGCAGCAGCAAGAGUAACUCUGACUUAGGAAUAGAGACAGCCAGAGAGAAAUGUGAUCAAUGAAGGAGACAUCUGGAGUGUGCGUGCUUCUUCAGAGGGACGGGUGAUGGGCAGAUUGGAAAAAGCACCGCAGAUGGGAACCUUAAUCUUUCUUUUCUAAAAUUGAUGCUAUGAAAAUUUGCGUUUUCUGUAACUUGUAAAAACUAAAAGUUGCUUGUCUACUGAAAA